UCUGUCCAGUUCAAAAUCAUUGACCAGCUGGCCCGAGUGAGCUCUCUUUUUGACCCUGGUCAUUUUUAAGUGGUUAGUAUCUUAUACGACAUCGAAGCGGACUUUUAAAUAAAAGUUUUGUCUUGAACGUGGUGCUGGUGAGACAUGAAGAAUGACAUGCUGAAUCGUGCUGUUAAAAUGAGCUCCACAUGUGCUGCCCUGUGGGAUCAAUGUGCUUUUGCUUCUGUGCUGAAGAGUAAACCAGACAUGCUCAGAUCAGCAGUGAAAAGGUCUAAGGCGCGUUCUCUCAUCACCACUGUGACUGCUGCUACAUGAAUAUGACGGAUCACAACCAUAGAGAUCACAACACUACUGAGACUGAGGUGUGUCAAGAGUUAUAGAGAUUAACAUGGCACUACAAAGGCCUGUUUGUGAAAAGGCCAUGCCUUAGAAGUCAGAAGGCAUUAAGUUCACUUAUGAUUUGCUGUCUGUCUGAACCAAACAAAUAAAAGCAAACUAUCUGUACCCAUAUUCAGGGCCCUAUGAUUUUUAUCCAUUCAUAAAAACGGAGUUUACUGUAUGAUGCAGAAUGUCAUGGAAUUUGUCGAAUUUUGGACGAAUAAAUCAAAAGUAGGGGGGUAUACUUGCAUCAAAUUGCGAUAUGGACUAGUGUCUGUGAAUAUUAAACCGCAAGAAGACAAAUUGAAUAUGAAUCCUGCAUGCUCUGCAUGUCUCUGCCGCAGACCUGUGAAUAUGUUUACUACACAUCCUGAAGCACGCGUGAUGCUCGUGGUGUUUUUCCCAGCAUCUGCCAUCUUACUGUAUGACGACAUGAACACAUAAACUUCAUCUCCAGAGCUGCUCUGAGAGUCACUUCGUGAGCAUUUUACCAUUUAAUUUGAGAAAAAACUAUUGUCAUAUCAUAUACACACAGAAACUUCAAGAUCACAGCAACCUGUCAAAAUAAAAGUUCGGUUUAACUUGUAACAGAAAUAUAGCCAUAUUACUAUUGUAGUGGUAUGUACUACUACUAUGUAGUCUAUUAUUGUAUUACUAUUGUACGAUAUAAUGUAUUUCUUAAUGACAAUGUAAUACUACUACUAGUAUAAUAAUUAUUAAGACUUCAGUUUUGAAGGAAUAAUCACGCAAUUUUACAGUAACAGUAAACUUUGUUUGCAAAAAAAAAAAAUGAAAGGGAUUAUUUAAAUUUAAUUUGAUUCAAAGUUUUAUGCCUUCAUUUGAUUACCAGAAAAAUUAAAAUACACAGAAUUUCUGGAAAAAAAAUUCAUAGGGCCCUAUUAUUGUAAACGAAUUGAUAGAGUUGCUUUUUAUUAAUUCAAUUAAUUAGACAUGUUUUUGAUUAAGCCAUUCAGACGGAAUCCAGAAAAAUUAAAACAGAAUUUAGUAAAAAAAUAAAGUAUUUUUUCAUUGCAUCUUAUCGCAUUGUGUUGAAUCGAAUUGAAUCGAAAUCGAAUCGAAUCGCAUCGCAUCGCAUCGGUAGCUGCUUCAUAUGUAUCUUUAAUGUAUCGUAUCAUUGGCUAUGCAUCAAGAUGCGUAUCGUUUCGGCCUCAGUUAUGGAGAUGCACAUCCCUAGUGUAGACACGGUGUUAGAUGAAAAGAUUCUGUCAGGUGCUUCAUAUUUAGAACCUCUUAGAGGUUCCAUCAUGGGAUGAUUUUAUGGAUUUAGUCUUAAUUAAUUUUGUUUUAAGUAAUUUUUUAUUUUGAUUACAUUUUAUGAAUCAAGCAGCUUGUGAACAUACUUUAUCACUGGAAAAAAAUGUAAAAAAACCUGUUAACCCGUGAACAGCUCCGAAUAUAACGUCACGUGUUGUCAUCUCAAGAUUCCGGUAAAUACGAGGUGGCGUGAACGCAGCAUCAGUCUCCAUGUUACUGUUUACAUGGUCAUCAAGGAUUUUUUUAAAAGUCUCCAUUUUGGUCCGUUUAUACUGAAAAAACGGGGUCUGCAGCGUUUUCGAAAGUCGUAGUGUAAAUGACAGGCGUAACCGUAGCAAAAAUUGUGCGUUUUAAAAUGAAAACACACUAGUGUAAACGGGUCCUAAGUCUGAAAAACAUCUGUACUGCAAGGGCCUUGUUUUGGAGAAGUGUUUCUGGAUGUGCUUAAACACAUGCAUUAUUCAGCUCUCUCAAACUUUAUUUACUCAAACUUUUCUUUUAUAAUGAAACUUCGGACAUUGCCAUUGAUGCUUGAAGGGAGAAAAAGUGUUUCAAAGCAAAAGAGAGCAGACAUAAGGAACGCUGUAGUUAAAAAGCCUUGAAGCUUGAAUGAAAGUAGGAAGUGAAUCUUUCUGAUGCUCCAGCAGGACGACAGACUCUCAUGAACAAACAAAAACAUCAAGAGCUUUCAGAUUUACAUUUUUAAAUAGCUUCAUGCUGAUAAAAAUGGCAUACAGGGGCAAACAAGAAAUGUGCUUGGCAUUAUUCACUGAAUAAUGACUAUCUCACAGUUGACUUGUUUUCUAGUUGGUGCAUUGUUUGUAUCGUCUUUAUCUGUUCCUCCAGUUCUUCAUCAUUAGACAAUGCUGUGAUUUGACAAGACUCAUUCUGUGUGUGCGCGCGCGUGUGUGUGCAUGUGUGCACGUGUGUGCGUGUGUGUGCGUGUGUGUGUGUGUGU